rnacentral:rRNA from 1 species
UAGGGAAUAUUGGACAAUGGGUGAGAGCCUGAUCCAGCCAUGCCGCGUGCAGGAAGGAGGCGUUAUGCGUUGUAAACUGCUUUUUGCCAGGGGAUAAAAAGACUCUGCGGAGUUUAUUGAAGGUACCUGGUGAAUAAGCCACGGCUAACUACGUGCCAGCAGCCGCGGUAAUACGUAGGUGGCAAGCGUUGUCCGGAUUUAUUGGGUUUAAAGGGUGCGUAGGUGGCCCUGUAAGUCAGUGGUGAAAUAUCUCAGCUUAACUGAGAGGGUGCCAUUGAUACUGCAGGGCUUGAGUACAGAUGAGGUAGGCGGAAUUGACGGUGUAGCGGUGAAAUGCAUAGAUAUCGUCAAGAACACCGAUAGCGAAGGCAGCUUACCAAGCUGUAACUGACACUGAGGCACGAAAGUGUGGGGAUCAAACAGGAUUAGAUACCCCCGUAGUCCCUGAGCGGGCUGGCAAGGCGCAU